AUUGAACGCUGGCGGCAUGCCUUACACAUGCAAGUCGAACGGCAGCAUGGAGAGCUUGCUCUCUGAUGGCGAGUGGCGAACGGGUGAGUAAAGCAUCGGAACGUACCGUGUAGUGGGGGAUAACGUAGCGAAAGUUACGCUAAUACCGCAUACGCACUGAGGUGGAAAGCAGGGGACCGUAAGACCUUGCGCUAUACGAGCGGCCGAUGUCAGAUUAGCUAGUUGGUAGGGUAAAGGCCUACCAAGGCGACGAUCUGUAGCGGGUCUGAGAGGAUGAGCCGCCACACUGGGAAUGAGACACGGCCCAGACUCCUACGGGGGGCAGCAGUGGGGAAUUUUGGACAAUGGGGGCAACGCUGAUCCAGCCAUGCCGCGUGAGUGAAGAAGGCCUUCGGGUUGUAAAGCUCUUUCGGCCGGGAAGAAAUCGCACAGGCUAAUACCCUGUGUGGAUGACGGUACCGGCAUAAGAAGCACCGGCUAACUACGUGCCAGCAGCCGCCGUAA
rnacentral:rRNA from 1 species